rnacentral:misc_RNA from 1 species
GUUUCCGUAGGUGAACCUGCGGAAGGAUCAUUAAUGAGUUGUCAUGGGGUUCGAUGCUGGCAGCCAGUUUUUGGAUGCAUGUGCUUGCCCUAACAAUCAUCUUCUUCCAAACACCUGUGCACAUUUUUGAGGGAGUCUUGAGUUGGUUGCCGCUCUUGGGUGAUUUUCUCACAUUCCCUUAAAUCAUUAUACGCUAUUAACAAUGUUGAACGUGCUCUGUGCCGCAAGGCCAUUAAUAUAAUACAACUUUUAACAACGGAUCUCUUGGCUCUC